GGAAGAUAACCACACCUCUAGUGCUUCUAUUGGGUUAUCAACUGAUGACGUACAGAGAGUCUGGCCCUUUAAAAGUUAAGACAAAGGGAAGAUAGAGAUAGGAGGCAGAUGCAAGAGAUGCAAAGGAGAGGAGAGAGGAAUUGGAAGUUUGGGGACUCCAACCUCCAUGCAGAGAGACAUCCAAAUAAGUUCCUGAGACUAUCUACC